UGUUAAAAUAUUAGUGGAUUCUACCAUGGGAAAUUGACAACUUAAACAAGAUGCAACUCUUAUGUCUUUGCAAAUAUAGAUUGAACCAACUAUUUAAUUUCACUACUAAUGCAAUUCUAUAUGUGUUUCCAGGUGAAAUACCCAAAGAAAUAAGCAAUCUCAUUGAGUUGGAGGUACUUGAUCUUGCAUUUAAUAGUUUUAGUGGUCCACCUGAAAUGGAGAUCUUCAACAUAUCCGGGCUGAGACUGAUUUCUCUUUCACUCAACAAUCUAUCAGGAAGCUUCCCGCCAAUCAUGUGUUCUAUCUUACCCAACAUUGAAAAGCUUUAUCUGAACACCUUAACCAAUCUUGUUGGGACUAUUCCGCAUUCCAUCUCCAAUUGUUCGAAACUUACUCAUCUAGAGCUUUCUUACAACCAACUCACAGGCUUGAUUCCCAAUUCUCUUGGAUAUUUGACUCAUCUACAACUCCUAAACUUGGGGGGAAACAAUUUAAUGAGUGACUCAUUGCAGAAAUUUGACAAAUCUUUCUCUAUCUUUGAACCCUCUAAAUGGCAUUAUUCCAGCCUCCAUGGGGAACCUUUCCACAUCUCUUAUAAGAUUUUACGCCAACAAUUGCAAAAUCAAAGGGCGAAUUCCAAAUGAAGUUGGGAACUUAAGCAGCUUAUUAUUCCUUUAUCUAUCCGGAAACAACUUGGUUGGAUCUAUUCCCACAUCAAUUGGCAACUUGAGAAACCUUCAGCGCUUCAACAUGAAGAACAACAAACUUACAGGAUUUGUUGGAGAUCAUAUAUGUAAAUUGCAGCAUUUGGGUGCUAUUUACUUGGGUCAAAAUCAACUUGCAGGAUCUCUUCCUAAUUGUUUAGGGAAUAUUACUUCCAUUAGGGAGAUAGAUCUCGGUUCCAACAAAUUGAGUUCCAAUAUACCACCAAGCUUAGGGAACCUUCAAGAUCUAGUGGUUUUUGACUUAUCGUCAAACAACAUGGUAGGCUCUUUACCUCCAGAAAUUGGAAAUCUAAAGGCUAUAACAAAGAUGGAUCUAUCGAUGAAUCAACCUAGAGAAAUUGGAGGCUUGCAAACUUUGGCAUACCUUUCUUUGAGACACAACAAUUUGCAAGGAGCUAUACCUGACUCAAUGAACUACAUGGUAGGUUUGGAAUUCCUAGACCUUUCUCACAAUAAUAUAUCGGGAAUCAUUCCCAUGUCUUUGGAGAAACUUCAAUGCCUCAAAUAUUUCAAUGUUUCAAGAACCUCUCAAGUCAGUUUUUCAUCUACAAUGAAGCAUUGUGUGGUUCUUCAAGAUUUAGUGUCCCGCCAUGCCCCACUUCAUCAAAGAACAGAUCAAAUAGGAAAAACUGCUAGUACUUUUUCUUUUGCUCACAAUUGCAGUUGUAUUUGCUCAUUUGACCAUUGUACUCCUAUUGAUAAGGUAUAGAAGAGGUAUAAGUGCUCCUCCGCAAGCUGAUUCAUUGUCUACCAUAGCAAGAGAAAAAAUUUCAUACUACGAAUUGCUCCGAGCAACUGAUGCGCUUAGCGAGAGUAAUUUGAUUGGUUCCGGAAGUUUUGGCUCAGUUUACAAAGGUGUUCUCAGUAGUGGAACAGUCAUUGCAGUUGAAGUGCUCAAUCUGCAACUGGAUGCGGCAUUCAAGAGCUUUGAUACGGAAUGUGAAGUUCUGCGUAGCCUUCGCCAUAGGAAUCUCGUUAAAGUCAUUACUAGUUGUUCCAAACUUGAUUUUAAGGCUUUAGUGCUCGAGUAUAUGCCAAAUGGAAGUCUUGAUAAGUAUUUGUAUUCACACAACUAUUUCCUCGACAUCACGCAGAGGCUAAGCUUAACGCUAGAUGUGGCAUGUGUGUUGGAAUAUCUUCACCAUGGGUGCUCAUCACCUGUGAUCCACUGUGAUGAGAAGCCUAGUAAUGUCUUGUUGGAUGAGGAUAUGGUUUCCCACCUUAGCGACUUUGGUAUUUCAAAACUGCUUGGUGAAGAUGAGAGUGAUUUGUACACUAAAACCUUAGCAACAUUGGGGUAUAUUGCGCCAGAGUUCAGACUGGAUGGUUUGGUAUCUACAAAGUGUGAUGUCUAUAGUUACGGGAUAGUGUUGCUGGAAAUGUUUACUAGGAGGAAGCCUAAUGAGUUUGAGGGAAAUCUUAGCUUGAAACAAUGGGUGAGUUAUUCUAUUCCAGAUGCAGUAAUGGACGUCGCAGAUGCCAACAUGCUAACGUCAACUGGUAAUUGCUUAAAGAAGGAGCUAAAUGUUGUGGCAUCAAUCAUUAAAGUUGGAUUAGGUUGUUGUAAUGAAUCUCCGGCGAGAAGGACCAACAUGAAAGAUGUUGUAGGGAUGCUACAGAAGAUCAAGAAUCAACUUCUAACAUGUUGAGCAUGUUGUUGGAAUCUGUUGUUCCAAAUAAUUUAUUUGCUGCAAAUAUUUGAUUAGUUUUGGAUUCCUACAAUUCUG